AAGCGCUUGUGGCCAGACUUGGGCCUCGGGGAUCAGCUGGCGUUCUCGCCAGCGCACUCCGCGGGGCCCAGGCCAGCAUCGGUUUCCCUAGGGGGACAAAAGCUUCGGGAACGUAGCUCCUCCGGGAGUGUUAUAGCCCGUUGCAGAAUACCCCUGGGGGGACCGAGGUACGCGCUCCGCAAGGAUGCUGGCGUAAUGGUCAUCAGCG
rnacentral:rRNA from 1 species